rnacentral:misc_RNA from 1 species
GAUAUUUCCAAUCUCAGAAUGGAUAUAGUACAACCCCUUCUGGACCCAUCAAGCAAAUAAUAUCAAUAACCACUUUCAAUUGGCAUAGCUUUACUGGCUUCAAUUCAAUGGAUCACUACCAUUAUUAUAAAUAGGAGUGUGGAUGGGAUUUUGAGAUAAAACCCAUCAUGUGCUCUCCUCGAGUAGAUUUGCAUUGCAGGCGUCCACCCUUGGGAGAAUGUAUACACCUCUUUUGAAGGUGACAAUAUCUGCCAUCUUGUGCUUCCAAGGUGUUGAGAAAUUCUGCUACCUUUCUUAGUUAAAUCUACAUGGUCCCUGCUCUCUAUUCUCGCUCAGCAAUCAUUUCCAUCAAUAACCGAAAUUGGAAAGAGAACCGCACUAAAAUGCUUUUACCAGCAAUAAUUGAAAAGGCUGAAUUUAGAAUGUUCUGUAUACUACAAAUUACCAUCAUAUUUACAGAUGGGCGUAACAUUUAGAACAUUAGCAUUUACCAACCUAAAUUCGCAGUAUUUGGUAGCUCCCAACUAAAUUAACGUCAAAACUUGUAAGGCCUAAUGAAAGGUCCAUCUCCCUUCCAAUACCAGUCUUAGUCUGGCAGUCUCCUCACCCAUUUCCGCCUCAAUUCAUAGCAGCAGGUAGAUUGGGGGAAUUUGGCAGUGACAAAUCUACCUCUCAGUAGCCUCUGUAACUCUUCUUCCUUGCCAGAUAGGUCUUGUCAGAUACAUAUACUCAAAUCUUAUCCUCCAACAAGAAUGAAUUAUGCCAGGAUCUGACGCCAAGGAUUGAACAGCAUACAAUGUAAGCCCAUUAUAGUUCUGCGGCUUCAGCUGCCAUGGACUUGGACACAGGAAAGGAAAUGGUAUACCAUCAAAUUAGCCAGCAAACGGUAGACAAUGGACUCAGAAGUAAGGUGCAACCACACCAUCUACAUGCUCCUUCAUGAAAUUACCCGAUAGAACCAGGAAUUGCAAUUUGCAGAAUAUGACUCCCAUUCAGCUGGAUACUAGUACUUUAGCUCCGAAAGGUGACUGGGACAAGCACUUAAGAUCGAAGGCACAUUCCUACCACAUACUGGGGAGGUUUUCUGGCCACUCCCAGUCAAAGAAUUGUCACCAUGUUGCGAUUGCAAUACAGGAACUGAUGAAUUAGCUCCCUUGGCAUUUGCUGAAGUUGUUCUCAAGAUACCUAUAGGUGGAGCACCAGCAACUAACAGGGGAGACUGGUUGCUAGAAGGUAUUUGUUGCCCUUGUGGUGCUAAAUUAGACUUGGAAUUUCGCCCAAAAGAUAUCUGGCCUUGUGGAGCUCUUCCUUGCUGCUGAGUAACAUUAAGAGUUGGGGUGUUUGAAACCAUGAGUGGGGUAAGAGGAGCUUGAGUGGUUGGGGUCUUUGGUGAGUUUGCCCACUGGGGAUUUUGGGGAGAGCUAUUGCUUUGGGCUAAACUUUCUGAAAGUAUAGGGUUAUUUGAAAAUUUGGAACCAAUGGAAGAUGAAGGCAGACUGUUAGUCAUCAGUGUUUUACUUCGAGCUGCUCCACUAGGUCGGUGUUGCUGUUGGUGCAAAAUAUGUUGCUUUUGAAGCUGAAGUAAUUGGUGCUGCUGGGAAUUUGAAGAAUUAACAGCAACUGAAGAAUUUGUGGUUGAAAUGAUGGGGCAAGCAGGCCAGUUCCCGGUGAAAGGAGAAGACGCAAAGUUAAGAGUUCUAGCUGAAUUAUCAAAAUUAAGUUCUUGCCCAAUACCCGGUGACUUUCCCACCAUGGCCAUUUUUCCAUCAUCAGGAUUGGCAGCAUUGGCUCCAGUCUUCCCUUCAGAUACCUGGUGAUUCUUAUUUUGUGUGGAUUGGGAUGCAGAUACAACCUGGUACUCCUGGCAAGUCAUGUCUGGAAGGUUUUGUAAGAUCGCAGGAUUUUGUGACAUGGAUGAGAAGUUCAGGUUUGAAGGUGUGUUGCUUCCAUUGAAAGAGGCAAAUGACAAUGCAAAUGCUGGAGAAGGGACCAUAUCUACUCCACUCUUCAAACCCUUGUCCUGUGAUUGAUGUUGUUGUUGCUUCUCACCAUGAUUGCCAGUGCCACUCACACCAAGAGUUGUUGAGGGCAUUAAAGUGAAGUUUGGCUGAAGAGGAACCAUGAAUAUCUGGCCAUGAACACUCUUUUGAGAGUGCAAGGCGCGGGCGUCAGAAAUUGUUGGGCUAGCUUCCCCACUCUCAUUUUCAAGGUUCCGAGGUUGAUGGGAUAGCACAUGCUGCUUCUGUUGCUUCUGUGACUGCACAGUUGUUGAGGUCAAAAAGUUAUUACCACUAACCUGUGUGCCCCGGGGCUGCUGAGUUUGCAGUUGUUUGUGGGAUAAUGAUGAGCCACUCAAUGAGCUUGCAUUCUGACGAACUGGUUGGACCAGAGGCUGAGAGUGAGACUGUUGCUGCUGGAGCUGGGAGGGAUGUGGCAUCUGAGAUGAGUAGAAAGACCCAUUAUAGAAAGGCAAUGCUGAGGCAGAACUUCCACCUCUGAUUGCUGGCGGGUUUCCAAUGGGAGUGGAAAUAGGGAAUGAGUAACCAUUGUUAGGAAGUAUUGUCAAGUAUGAGGCUUUAUUUUCUGCCAAAUUUGGGUAACUAAAUCUCAAAGCUGCAGCUACUGCUGGCAAUGCUGAAGAAUUUGUUGGAACUCCGGCUAUUGCAUUACCAGAUAAUGAUGUGUUGUUGACAGAGGCGGCAGAUUUAGAAGGCCCAGUUUGAAUUCCUGUAGCUGCUACUGGUGCUUGAUGCUGGGUAAAAGAGAAGAUGAAGGGAGGGCCAUGCAUCAAAUUACCAGCUGAGGCUGGCUGUGGAGAUUGAUGAAGCACAAGCUGCUUUUUCUGUGCUGUGUCUAUGCAGUUGGCCCCCUCAACAUUUCUAUCUUUCCUAGUUAAAACUGGAAAAUUUGCCACAACCUGCCCUUUGUCCCGGGCAGUAUUGGCAUUCACAACUGGAAAGCUCCCUUGCAAUGGAUUUCUAAUUAUCAUAUUCUCCAUUGAAGACAUGGCA